CCCUAAGGGAAGAAGGGGGAAAAUGCAUGGCAUACAGUGUCACAGAAGCACCUUUCACCCCAGGGUCACCAGCAAACAGCAAGACUGCAAUGUGGUUCUGGAUGGCACAAGCAGGAGCAUGAUGAAGCCCCUCAGCCAUGUAUUCUCAGAGAAGGGGGAGGAGAGGACAUAAGUCAUCCCCAAGUGAGUACCUCAGCAUCACCUCCGAUUCUUUGACUAUCUGGGCAAUGUCUCCCUUCAGAAUCUUCUGCUGGGAUAGGAGGUCAUGGGCCCGAGUCCACCUGGAAGCAAAUAGCAAAGUGAGCUCCGUCUCCAAGGCAGUCAGGCAGCCUGCACGGAACUGUCCUCAAGGAUGUUAUAGAACCAACCAAAUCAUCUCCAUAGUAAACAAUUGCUUAAACAGAGCUAUGACUACCUCUCUGCUUCACACACAUGGCUUGCUAUGGGCAAGCAGCUGCCAGGAGAAUGGGAGCAUUUCCUGAGUCCAUGCAUUUCUUUUGCAUUUAUCACCCAGGUAACCAGAAUGUCAAAUACAUUUCUAAGUCUGGAUGUGCUGUGUCCACUGAGGCCUCUUUCCCCAGCACUCCUUGAUUCAGUUCCUACUGAUCUAUUCUCAGUGCCCGGUUAUCAGAUGAAAAAUACCAUAUUCCCCCCAAAAUCAGCCUUGCAAAAUCAGGGUGCAUAUCACAGAAGCUGAGUUUUUUGGAGCUGAAAUGGAAAAAUGGAAACACAGAUGGCAGCUGUAAUAGCUGGCCACUUUUCUCCAUGCUGGCCACAGGGAAGGAAGGGUGGAGUAAAAAAACAGUCAAAAGUUGCUGCUAAUUUGGGAGCAGCUGUGAAAGAAUUAAAACUCCAGCUUUUGCUGAUGUUGCAGAGUGACUCUGCCUCUGCAAUCAGGGGUCAGCAUGCAUGUCUGAUCUGGGGGCAUUUGGUAUGCAAGAAAAUAUGGUAACUUAUCUACCACCACCAUAUCAGUUGCUCAGGGAUCCCUUUUGAAAUUGGGCAUGAGCAGGAUAAGUAAGCUGAAACCACAGCUACACCAGGCAUGGUGGCACCAUCAUUCAUAUUAGGAAUAAUGAAACUACAUGCCUGAAAGGAAUAAGAAGGAAUUGGAAUUUGCUUGUCAGGCAUGAAACCAGGAUAAUUUCUUGCUGCUGUAAAUCUCAAAGGGCCCUUUUAUAGCUUCUGUGCCCUGCUCUCAAAGGCAAUGCAUUCUCCCAGCUGACUUCUUGUCCUUUUUGUCAUUGAACUUAUUGGGAAAGUUAAACUGGGAGCUGCAAGUUUUCAAAUGAAUCUACCUAAUGAUCAAAUUGACUGAGAUGUUCUGGACAGCUUAUGAAGCCCGAAACGAUAUCACACUGGGACCGUGACGUGGCAAGGCAUUCUGCAUAAGAGCCAGUGAUUAUAAUCUUUUCAUUCUGAGGCUACAAGCAGGCGUUAACUUUGUGCUGCCAUAAAAAAAAAAAAUUAUGACAGUACAAAAGCCAAGUGAACUGACAUGAAAACACUUUGUUGCAGUACAAGUGCUUACAUUUUGUGGCACCAACAAAGGUGGUAACAAUUUGUGCCACUUUUUUCUGGCUGACUUCUGUUCACUUAUGGCAGCAGAGUGUGGGGUGCCGGUGGUGGCCUGGAAUCUCCCACCACCCCAGCCAGGAACUCCUUUGGCUUCAAGGGACAGAUCCUGGGGUAAAAGGGCCCUGGGUGCCCCACCCAGAUUUGGUACAUGCACCUACAAGCAGGGAAACCACAACUCUUGGAGCGUGGGGGAAUCCUACAGCAAAAGGAGAAAAAUGCAGUGGGGUAAUCAUUCCCCCAGCACAGAUCAGCAAGCGUGGAGUGGGGAACCUUCCCUAGGAGUUCCUCCCUCUAUUUGCACAUGGCCCCUGCCUCAGGGAUGGCAGCAUAAUAGGUGUGCUGGCACCUGACAUGCUCUUCUCACUGCUGCCCCUGGGUUGUGGCACCAUGUGCAAGUGGAAGGGGAACCCCAAGGGGAGCUCCCCAUUUGAAACCCCUGCUGAGGGACUCCUCCACCCCUCAAAAGGGGGGCAUAUCUGCAAGCAGAGGUUUUCCAGUUGCAGAUGCAUGCCCCAAGUCAGAGUGGAGCUCAUGAGACCCUUUUCUCCACAGAUCAAGCCCCUGAAAACCUGGGGGCAGGGGACUGACCCUGGGGGACAACAACCCUGGGGACAUCUGUUAGAUGUCCAUGAAGCAGACCACCUUCUACUACAAUGUUUCAUGGCACAGCUGAUCGUGCUCCAAAGACAGCAUCUGUUUCCAGCCCAAGAGUUGUUAGCUUUUGCAAUUUCAGUCACUCACCAUUCAACCAUGAGCGGGCAUUUCUCUUCCAAGGUCCGGUUGGGAUCGAUUUCAAUGGGAUAGUAAUAGUGCAGCAGAUCUUUUAACUGGAACGUUUGACAAGUUUAAAAAGAAAGUGCAAUAAGUGCAAAGUCUCUAAAAAGCAAAGAGGAUCUGCACAUUCGCUAAAUGCAUCACAAUUCAAAAUCAAGCCUGAAACAGUUUGGUAAGUGAACAGGGAGCUCCCAAAGAGGACAAGGGUUUAAUAUGGCUUUGGAAGUCCUGCCAACACUGGGCUUGGUUCAGAUGCUCUAAACCCAAAUGAAAUGUUCCUUCCUUUCUAGCAUCACUGUUCCACCUGCCUUGAAAUAGCCACGAUUAGAUAAAAGCCAGACAGCAGAUUUGUCAAGUUUCCCUUAUAGGCCCUGCUGGAAACAUUGAUAUUGAUCAGCUUAGGCCUGACCAGCAAACCUGACAGUUGCAUGCAUGAACUCAUUUAUGUAAGCAACACUUGGCAUGUGAGCCAGAUGGGCACUCCGGCCAAAAGAUGGGAGGGAGAGCUGGCUAUACAAGGUAUAGGAUAGUCCAGUGCCUGAAUGAUAAGACUAGAACAGGAACACCCAGAACAGGACCAUCCAAGAGAUUCAAGAUACAGAUGGAGCACAAUACAUAAUUUGCUUUGAUCAUUUUAUAAAAAGAGAAUUGGAAAUCAAGGGAAUUUUGUAGCAGCCUAAGGGAGCCUGUGUGGUGGUGUGCUGACUGCUUUGUCACAGGUACAAAUAAAUGCCUUAACUCCUGGUAGGCAAAAUUUGUUAGGGCUGUGCUUGUAGACAAUAAACCUGGCUGAAUCUUUGCCACUAAA